AUUGAACGCUAGCGGGAUGCUUUACACAUGCAAGUCGAACGGCAGCGCGGACUUCGGUCUGGCGGCGAGUGGCGAACGGGUGAGUAAUGUAUCGGAACGUGCCCAGUAGCGGGGGAUAACUACGCGAAAGCGUAGCUAAUACCGCAUACGCCCUACGGGGGAAAGCAGGGGAUCGUAAGACCUUGCACUAUUGGAGCGGCCGAUAUCGGAUUAGCUAGUUGGUGAGGUAACGGCUCACCAAGGCGACGAUCCGUAGCUGGUUUGAGAGGACGACCAGCCACACUAGGACUGAGACACGGCCCAGACUCCUGCGGGAGGCAGCAGUGGGGAAUUUUGGACAAUGGGGGCAACCCUGAUCCAGCCAUCCCGCGUGUGUGAUGAAGGCCUUCGGGUUUUAAAGCACUUUUGGCAGGAAAGAAACGUCGCGGGCUAAUACCCCGUGGAACUGACGGUACCUGCAGAAUAAGCACCGGCUAACUACGUG
rnacentral:rRNA from 1 species